rnacentral:rRNA from 1 species
CAGCAGCCGCGGGAACACGAAGGGUGCAAGCGUUAAUCGGAAUUACUGGGCGUAAAGCGCGCGUAGGUGGUUUGGUAAGAUGGAUGUGAAAUCCCCGGGCUCAACCUGGGAACUGCAUCCAUAACUGCCUGACUAGAGUACGGUAGAGGGUGGUGGAAUUUCCUGUGUAGCGGUGAAAUGCGUAGAUAUAGGAAGGAACACCAGUGGCGAAGGCGACCACCUGGACUGAUACUGACACUGAGGUGCGAAAGCGUGGGGAGCAAACAGGAUUAGAUACCUGCGUAGUCCCUGUCUCUUAUAC